UACGGAGGGUGCAAGCGUUGCUCGGAAUUAUUGGGCGUAAAGGGUAGGUAGGUGGUCUUAUUUGUCUGGGGUGAAAGCCUUGAGCUUAACUCAAGAAGUGCCCCAGAAACGGUAAGACUAGAGUCCUGGAGAGGGUCGUGGAAUUCCCGGUGUAGCGGUGAAAUGCGUAGAAGAUCGGGAGGAACACCAGAGGCGAAGGCGGCGACCUGGACAGGCACUGACACUCAACUACGAAAGCGUGGGGAGCAAACAGGG
rnacentral:rRNA from 1 species